ACGAGAAUCUACUGAAAGAGUUUUCGGACAAUGGAUGUAGAGGAAAGUGGCGGACGGGUGAGUAACGCGUGAGGAACCUGCCUUGAAGAGGGGGACAACAGUUGGAAACGACUGCUAAUACCGCAUGACGCAUAGAGGUCGCAUGAUCUUUAUGCCAAAGAUUUAUCGCUUCAAGAUGGCCUCGCGUCUGAUUAGCUGGUUGGCGGGGUAACGGCCCACCAAGGCGACGAUCAGUAGCCGGACUGAGAGGUUGAACGGCCACAUUGGGACUGAGAUACGGCCCAGACUCCUACGGGAGGCAGCAGUGGGGAAUAUUGGGCAAUGGGCGCAAGCCUGACCCAGCAACGCCGCGUGAAGGAAGAAGGCUUUCGGGUUGUAAACUUCUUUUAAGAGGGAAGAGCAGAAGACGGUACCUCUAGAAUAAGCCACGGCUAACUACGUGCCAGCAGCCGCGGUAAUACGUAGGUGGCAAGCGUUGUCCGGAUUUACUGGGUGUAAAGGGCGUGCAGCCGGGUCUGCAAGUCAGAUGUGAAAUCCAUGGGCUCAACCCAUGAACUGCAUUUGAAACUGUAGAUCUUGAGUGUCGGAGGGGCAAUCGGAAUUCCUAGUGUAGCGGUGAAAUGCGUAGAUAUUAGGAGGAACACCAGUGG
rnacentral:rRNA from 1 species